rnacentral:rRNA from 1 species
UACAGAGGUCUCAAGCGUUGUUCGGAUUCAUUGGGCGUAAAGGGUGCGUAGGUGGCGCUGUAAGUCGGGUGUGAAAUUUCGGAGCUUAACUCCGAAACUGCAUUCGAUACUGCGGUGCUUGAGGACUGGAGAGGAGACUGGAAUUCAUGGUGUAGCAGUGAAAUGCGUAGAGAUCGGGAGGAACACCAGCGGCGAAGGCGGCCCCCUGGGCCGCUCCUGACGCUGAGACGCGAAGGCCAGGGUAGCGAACGGG